UACAGAGGUCUCAAGCGUUGUUCGGAUUUAUUGGGCGUAAAGGGCGCGUAGGCGGCGGGGUAAGUCGGGUGUGAAAUCUCAGGGCUCAACCCUGAAACUGCACUUGAUACUGCUCUGCUUGAAGACUGGAGAGGAGACUGGAAUUCACGGUGUAGCAGUGAAAUGCGUAGAUAUCGUGAGGAAGACCAGUGGCGAAGGCGGGUCUCUGGACAGUUCCUGACGCUGAGGCACGAAGGUCAGGGGAGCAAACGGG
rnacentral:rRNA from 1 species